rnacentral:tRNA from 1 species
GCCUUCGUGGUAUAGUGGUCAGCACGCUCGACGCGUAACUGAGAGGUCCGUGGUUCGAUUCCCGACGAAGGCG